CCCUUAGAUGUUCUGGGCUGCACGCGCGCUACACUGAUGCACUCAUCGAGUUUAUGACCUUGUCCGAUAGGAUUGGGUAAUCUUCUUAAAAUGCAUCGUGAUGGGGAUAGAUUAUUGCAAUUAUUAAUCUUCAACGAGGAAUUCCUAGUAAGCGCGAGUCAUCAGCUCGUGCUGAUUACGUCCCUGCCCUUUGUACACACCGCCCGUCGCUCCUACCGAUUGAAUGGUCCGGUGAAGCGUUCGGACCGUGGCCUUUGGACGGUUCGCCGUCUGUUGGCUGCGGGAAGUUCGUUAAACCUUAUCAUUUAGAGGAAGGAGAAGUCGUANCA
rnacentral:rRNA from 1 species